GAUAAGCCAUGGCGUGAAACGUCAAAAAGGAGAUGUCAAUGUCAUUGUCAAGGAAGGGGGGAGUUGAUUUGAAUAUGGAGUCGUGUUCUUGUAUUUUCUGAUUUAAUUUGUUUGUUAUCGAUAUAAAUCCUCAUGUUUUCAAGUUGUAUUAAUGAUUUAUGGUAAAACAAACCUAUUUCACAAAUGAGUUUACUUUUUGUGUCACCUUUUCCUUCUGGUUUUAACAGAUUUGUAAAUCUAUUUUCAUCACAGAAAAAAACGAACGCUAUAAUAAAUAAAAUUAUUUUACUACCUAACUGGACCAAUCAAAGUCAAAAUCGGUCAAAAAUCAUCAUGAAUCGGUGAAUUGUCUAUGACAGCAACCUAUUUGGGCAUUUCAAAUCUCAAUGUAAACAAAAUGUUAUCCAAACAAACAGACAGCAGAAAGUGAAGAAUUACAGUAAACAAGACUUUUACCUACUUGGAUAACAGCGCAAGCGUCCAAAUGACAACAGAUGGUACAGACAUCUGAAAAGAAAAAAGAGCUGCAGCAAUGGGAAACAUCACAUCCUGCGAGUCUACAGGCCAGAGUGUGAGUAAGGACACUCCAAAAAAGCCGUCAUACAUAGCUAACAACAUCAAACCCAUCACUGAAGAACCCACAUAUCCUACUGCGUGAGAGACUGCCAGUGAUACCAGGUCAGCUAUUUCUACACAACACUCAGUUCGGCUACAUUGUUGCUGGCACUGCACCAUUGAACAGCGAGGGAUGUUCAUCACUACCAAGUAACUUUUGCAACUUUCCUAUUUUUUCGGGAAUACCGCCGCUGCCCCCGGGCCAUGCCUCUAUAAUGAGAAGAUCACCUGGGUGAAGAUGACGAUGCAACAUCGACAUGUCGAAGUACCCAGCGAAUGUGACGACAAAACUACUAAAUGGAUUUUGAUCAACAGACAACCUGGAUAGGCAACUUUUUAAAAAUCCUAGAAUCACUACCAGAAAACUUUUUAGCUCUAAGUUUUAUUUUAACAGUUACUAGAAAAUAAAACCGAGAGAGAGAGAAAACAGCUGUAUUUAUUUUAACUCUUUGGACACAUGGCGCCAUCUGUUGCCGAGUAGCGGUAAUAAUAGCGACACCUGUUGUCGAGUAGUAGUAACAAUGAGUUAGUGCAGUGAGAGUGAAGUGAACGUAACAAUUAUAUUAUUUAUAUAUAUUUUAAUAUUUAUAGGUUCUAUUUAAGUUUAGGUUUAUUAGCAGAUCACAUUUUAUUCUGUUUUAUUUAAUAAAGUAUGCUCUUACUUAAAAGAGCUAUGAUAUAAUUCAAGCUAUCGAUUUUAACUGUUACUUGUAUCCAUAUUCUGAUUGAUAAAUAAUAAAUUUAGAAAUAUCAUUGUGAUUUUAAUCAUACCUACUUAUAACAAUAUAAAAUAAUUUAACAUGAUUGUGUUGAUGUAGUUUCUAAUGUGGAUUUGUAUACUUAAAAUAAAAUAAAUUUGUCUUGGCA